rnacentral:tRNA from 1 species
GAGUAUGAUUUGGCCUUAAUGAGAACUGCUAAUUCCUCAUUUCCAUGGUUCAACUCCAUGGCCUACUCA